rnacentral:rRNA from 1 species
CGCUGGCGGCAUGCUUUACACAUGCAAGUCGGACGGCAGCACAGAGAAGCUUGCUUCUUGGGUGGCGAGUGGCGAACGGGUGAGUAAUAUAUCGGAACGUACCGAGUAAUGGGGGAUAACUAAUCGAAAGAUUAGCUAAUACCGCNUAUUCUCUGAGGAGGAAAGCAGGGGACCUUCGGGCCUUGCGUCAUUCGANCGGCCGAUAUCUGAUUAGCUAGUUGGCGGGGUAAAGGCCUACCAAGGCGACGAUCAGUAGCGGGUCUGAGAGGAUGAUCCGCCACANUGGGACUGAGACACGGCCCAGACUCCUACGGGAGGCAGCAGUGGGGAAUUUNGGACAAUGGGCGCANGCCUGAUCCAGCCAUGCCGCGUGUCUGAAGAAGGCCUUCGGGUUGUAAAGGACUUUUGUCAGGGAGGAAAAGGCUGUUGCUAAUACCGACAGCUGAUGACGGUACCUGAANAAUAAGCACCGGCUAACUACGUGCCAGCAGCCGCGGUAAUACGUAGGGUGC